GAUGAACGCUGGCGGCGUGCCUAAUACAUGCAAGUCGAGCGAACAGACGAGGAGCUUGCUCCUCUGACGUUAGCGGCGGACGGGUGAGUAACACGUGGAUAACCUACCUAUAAGACUGGGAUAACUUCGGGAAACCGGAGCUAAUACCGGAUAAUAUAUUGAACCGCAUGGUUCAAUAGUGAAAGACGGUUUUGCUGUCACUUAUAGAUGGAUCCGCGCCGCAUUAGCUAGUUGGUAAGGUAACGGCUUACCAAGGCAACGAUGCGUAGCCGACCUGAGAGGGUGAUCGGCCACACGGGAACUGAGACACGGUCCAGACUCCUCCGGGAGGCAGCAGUAGGGAAUCUUCCGCAAUGGGCGAAAGCCUGACGGAGCAACGCCGCGUGAGUGAUGAAGGUCUUCGGAUCGUAAAACUCUGUUAUUAGGGAAGAACAAAUGUGUAAGUAACUAUGCACGUCUUGACGGUACCUAAUCAGAAAGCCACGGCUAACUACGUG
rnacentral:rRNA from 1 species